UACAGAGACUGCAAGCGUUAUUCGGAUUCACUGGGCGUAAAGGGUGCGCAGGCGGCCAAGUGUGUCAGGUGUGAAAUCCCGAGGCUUAACCUCGGAACUGCGCCUGAAACUACUUGGCUAGAGUACUGGAGAGGGAAGUGGAAUUUCAGGUGUAGCGGUGAAAUGCGUAGAUAUCUGAAGGAACAUCAGUGGCGAAAGCGACUUCCUGGACCAAUACUGACGCUCAUGUGCGAAAGCGUGGGGAGCAAACAGG
rnacentral:rRNA from 1 species